rnacentral:rRNA from 1 species
AACGUAGGGGGCGAGCGUUGUCCGGAAUCACUGGGCGUAAAGGGUGCGUAGGCGGCCGUUUAAGUCCCGUGUGAAAGGCUCCGGCUUAACCGGAGAGGGUCACGGGAAACUGGACGGCUAGAGUGCCGGAGAGGGUGGCGGAAUUCCCGGUGUAGCGGUGAAAUGCGUAGAGAUCGGGAGGAACACCAGUGGCGAAGGCGGCCACCUGGACGGUAACUGACGCUGAGGCACGAAAGCUGGGGGAGCAAACAGG